GCUUUACUGUAACUUGAAAUUGAAAUUGGACUUUAUUUGCGCAGUAUAGGUGGGAGGCGUUGAGAAUAUUCUUGCGGGAAUAUUGGAGCCAUCAGUGAGAUACCACUCUUGUAAUGUUAGAUUUCUAACUUUGGAUCAUUAUCUGGUCAAAGAACAGUUUCAGGCGGGCAGUUUGACUGGGGCGGUCGCCUCCCAAACGGUAACGGAGGCGUACAAAGGUUUCCUCUGAACGGGUAGAAAUCGUAUCUAGAGUGUAAAGGCAUAAGGAAGCUUGACUGUGAGACCUACAAGUCGAGCAGGGACGAAAGUCGGUCUUAGUGAUCUGACGGUGCUG
rnacentral:rRNA from 1 species